rnacentral:rRNA from 1 species
GAUGAACGCUGGCGGCGUGCUUAACACAUGCAAGUCGAACGAUGAAGCCCAGCUUGCUGGGUGGGUUAGUGGCGAACGGGUGAGUAACACGUGAGUAACCUGCCCUUAACUCUGGGAUAAGCCUGGGAAACUGGGUCUAAUACCGGAUAGGAGCGUCCACCGCAUGGUGGGUGUUGGAGAGAUUUAUCGGUUUUGGAUGGACUCGCGGCCUAUCAGCUUGUUGGUGAGGUAAUGGCUCACCAAGGCGACGACGGGUAGCCGGCCUGAGAGGGUGACCGGCCACACUGGGACUGAGACACGGCCCAGACUCCUACGGGAGGCAGCAGUGGGGAAUAUUGCACAAUGGGCGCAAGCCUGAUGCAGCGACGCCGCGUGAGGGAUGACGGCCUUCGGGUUGUAAACCUCUUUCAGUAGGGAAGAAGCGAAAGUGACGGUACCUGCAGAAGAAGCACCGGCUAACUACGUG